AUACAUGAGCAGUUGAGGUAUCCAGAAUCGUAUAAAUACCAGAUGCUAUGUUCGAAUAAGCAUCAAAGUUUGUUCGCUCUCAUCAGCUUCAAGUGUUCAUUCCUUCAAACUAAUUUUUCAAACUUAUAAAUCAUCUCAUCAUGUCGUCAGAAUGGUGUACCAAAGAACAAUGCAGUAAGUGCAAUUGCAUCGUUAAAGAGAGACUCAUAGACGACGGCGGCUGCGACAAUAACGGAGGUGGAGGAGAUUGUACCGAAGUAUACAGGAAACUCGGAAGCUGUCUUAACCAAUGCUUGAAACAAAAAUGUCGCGAGUACCAAAGAAAAAAUCGCGACCGUCGAGGAAAUGAUUGUGAUUGGUAGAUAAUUUGCCAAAAAUAAUGUUUUUGUUAAGAAAAAUGUUGAAUUUGAAUAAAAACUCGUUACUUUGA